GUCUAUGCCCAUGCUAUCCUGAACAAGCCUGAUCCCAUCUGAUCUUGGAAGCUGAGCAAGAUCGGGCCUGGUUAGUACUUGGAUGGGAGACCACAUAGGAAGACCAGGUGCUGUAGGCG
rnacentral:rRNA from 1 species